rnacentral:tRNA from 1 species
AUUUUAAUAGCUUAAUUGAGAGCAUAAUAUUGAAGAUAUUAAGGUGAUAUAAAUCUUAAAAUA